rnacentral:rRNA from 1 species
CGUAGGUGGCAAGCGUUGUCCGGAAUUAUUGGGCGUAAAGCGCGGCGCAGGCGGCUUCUUAAGUCCAUCUUAAAAAGUGCGGGGCUUAACCCCGUGAUGGGAUGGAAACUGAGAGGCUGGAGUAUCGGAGAGGAAAGUGGAAUUCCUAGUGUAGCGGUGAAAUGCGUAGAGAUUAGGAAGAACACCGGUGGCGAAGGCGACUUUCUGGACGACAACUGACGCUGAGGCGCGAAAGCGUGGGGAGCAA